CCCCUUGUCGCUGCCGGACUUUUUCUUCAGGU
rnacentral:scRNA from 1 species